rnacentral:ncRNA from 2 species
CCCUGUCUCCGAGCCCGGCUGUCUAAAGCGACGCCAUGAUGUCUGGGCCGAUGGAGGUGCCAUCCUCCGCAGGGCCGCCGUGGAAACGCGGCGACCUUCCGUGAUUGAGAAGGAGA